CACAAAUCACUGUUGCUGCUAAAACGUGUGUCUGAAGCAUUGAUUGGUUAAUGAUGAUAAUUUGAGGAUUGGGAUGAGCAAUUUACACUGUAAAUAACAAAAAUGUGUAUGUUUGAUAGUAAUGUUUUUUGUCGGUGUGUGAUGGAGAAUGUCGGUGUGUGAUGGUGAAUGUCGGUGUGUGAUGGAGAAUGUCGGUGUGUGAUGGUGAAUGUCGGUGUGUGAUGGUGAAUGUUGGUGUGUGAUGGUGAAUGUCGGUGUGUGAUGGAGAAUGUCGGUGUGUGAUGGUGAAUGUUGGUGUGUGUGAUGGUGAAUGUCGGUGUGUGAUGGUGAAUGUUGGUGUGUGAUGGAGAAUGUCGGUGUGUGAUGGUGAAUGUCGGUGUGUGAUGGUGAAUGUUGGUGUGUGAUGGUGAAUGUUGGUGUUUCAUGGAGAAUGUCGGUGUGUGAUGGUGAAUGUCGGUGUGUGAUGGUGAAUGUCGGUGUGUGAUGGUGAAUGUCGGUGUGUGAUGGUGAAUGUCGGUGUGUGAUGGAGAAUGUUGGUGUGUGAUGGUGAAUGUUGGUGUGUGAUGGAGAAUGUUGGUGUGUGAUGGUGAAUGUCGGUGUGUGAUGGUGAAUGUCGGUGUGUGAUGGAGAAUGUCGGUGUUUGAUGGAGAAUGUCGGUGUGUGAUGGUGAAUGUUGGUGUGUGAUGGUGAAUGUUGGUGUGUGAUGGAGAAUGUUGGUGUGUGUGAUGGUGAAUGUCGGUGUGUGUGAUGGAGAAUGUUGGUGUGUGAUGGUGAAUGUUGGUGUGUGAUGGAGAAUGUUGGUGUGUGAUGGUGAAUGUUGGUGUGUGAUGGAGAAUGUUGGUGUGUGAUGGUGAAUGUCGGUGUGUGAUGGAGAAUGUUGGUGUUUGAUGGAGAAUGUUGGUGUGUGAUGGUGAAUGUUGGUGUGUGAUGGUGAAUGUUGGUGUGUGAUGGAGAAUGUUGGUGUUUGAUGGUGAAUGUUGGUGUUUGAUGGUGAAUGUUGGUGUUUGAUGGUGAAUGUUGGUGUGUGAUGGUGAAUGUUGGUGUUUGAUGGUGAAUGUUGGUGUGUGAUGAAGAAUGUUGGUGUGUGAUGGUGAAUGUUGGUGUGUGAUGGUGAAUGUUGGUGUGUGAUGGUGAAUGUUGGUGUGUGUGAUGGUGAAUGUUGGUGUGUGAUGGUGAAUGUUGGUGUUUGAUGGUGAAUGUUGGUGUGUGAUGGUGAAUGUUGGUGUUUGAUGGUGAAUGUUGGUGUGUGAUGAAGAAUGUUGGUGUGUGAUGGUGAAUGUUGGUGUGUGAUGGUGAAUGUUGGUGUGUGAUGGUGAAUGUUGGUGUGUGGUGGAGAAUGUUGGUGUGUGAUGGUGAAUGUUGGUGUGUGAUGGUGAAUGUUGGUGUGUGAUGGUGAAUGUUGGUGUGUGGUGGUGAAUGUUGGUGUUUGAUGGAGAAUGUUGGUGUGUGGUUGAGAAUGUUGGUGUUUGAUGGAGAAUGUUGGUGUGUGAUUGAGAAUGUUGGUGUUUGAUGGAGAAUGUUGGUGUGUGGUUGAGAAUGUUGGUGUCUGAUAGUGAAUGUUGGUGUGUGACUCAGAGUGCUAGGGUUGACCGUGAAUGUCAGUGUUCGAUGAAUGUUGUCAUUUGAUGCUAAAUUUUUAUCUUUAAAGGAAAUUUUUGUG
ensembl:lncRNA